rnacentral:rRNA from 1 species
AGGAGGCAGCAGUGAGGAAUAUUGGUCAAUGGACGCAAGUCUGAACCAGCCAUGCCGCGUGGAGGAUGAAGGCCCUCUGGGUUGUAAACUUCUUUUAUCUGGGACGAAAAAGGGACUUUCUAGUUCAACUGACGGUACCAGAGGAAUAAGCACCGGCUAACUCCGUGCCAGCAGCCGCGGUAAUACGGAGGGUGCAAGCGUUAUCCGGAUUCACUGGGUUUAAAGGGUGCGUAGGUGGGUUGGUAAGUCAGUGGUGAAAUCUCCAGGCUUAACUUGGAAACUGCCAUUGAUACUAUUAAUCUUGAAUACCGUGGAGGUCAGCGGAAUAUGUCAUGUAGCGGUGAAAUGCUUAGAUAUGACAUAGAACACCAAUUGCGAAGGCAGCUGGCUACACGAAUAUUGACACUGAUGCACGAAAGCGUGGGGAUCAAACAGGAUUAGAAACCCCAGUAGUCCC